CUCCUCCCCCGGUGGAAGCAGUGCACUGCCCAAAGUAGUGGCGGUGCACUACCCGAUGUGGCAGUGCUUCGACUGGCGCACUGCAGGCCAGCUUGCAGGCGCACAGGGCCUAUCUAUGUAGGUCUGCUGCAUGAACAGUGUGCACAUAGUGUGCAACGUCUGUCCGUGUGGGAGGUGACAUGCAGACAGCCCGUCUAUACGCGGCAGGAUCUACCAAAAUGUAUCGGGAAUUGAAAUGACAAUAUUGGUGGGCAGGAAUAAAGAAAAAU
rnacentral:lncRNA from 1 species